GGGUGCCCGAUCUUUCGAUGAGAGAUGAUGGAGGUGGAAAACUUGUUGGAGAACGACGUUGGUUGCCCGACUACCACAACUAAGAUGGUGUGGCGCCUUGAGCGACAGGUACACCGUCUCCUGAUAACUACGAUUUGGGGUGGAGGUCGACGUUGUGCUAUCCGUGAUACACCCAGCCCAGGUGGGGUUGGCCGAGGCCCAACAAAUUAGGGUUGCCCGGAGCCCAACAGUUCAUUAAGCACACCCAACUCAGGGAAAGGCCCAAUCACCCCAAAAGACUAGUCCAAUGGGGGAAGGGUGGCUCUCCCUUUUAAAGUGGCUUCCUCCUCCCAAGUUAAGUGAGGUGGGAUAAUUCUGAGGCUCACACGGUCGCCGUCCGACUACAAUUGGGCCAACUGGGUCAAUUGCGUCUUUGCCAACGGGUAAUAGUGGAGGAUGUCCUCAUCAUUCCCACCUUCUUAAAAUGGGCCCUGGCUUUGAUACCAGAUGAUACACCCAGCCCAGGUGGGGUUGGCCGAGGCCCAACAAAUUAGGGUUGCCCGGAGCCCAACAGUUCAUUAAGCACACCCAACUCAGGGAAAGGCCCAAUCACCCCAAAAGACUAGUCCAAUGGGGGAAGGGUGGCUCUCCCUUUUAAAGUGGCUUCCUCCUCCCAAGUUAAGUGAGGUGGGAUAAUUCUGAGGCUCACACGGUCGCCGUCCGACUACAAUUGGGCCAACUGGGUCAAUUGCGUCUUUGCCAACGGGUAAUAGUGGAGGAUGUCCUCAUCAAUCCGACUACAACAACCACAAGGGUGCUGCGCCUUAGCGAUAGUUACACCGGCUCCUGUUGUUGCUGCUCUUGCCGUGCCAAGAACAGCCUUGAACCUGCAAGCAAUCGAGAACAAGCAAGAACAAGAUAAAAAGCAGACGCUCACGGAUCUGAUAGAGUUGGGGUUCUGUUUCAAGUAUCCGGGUGGUCUAGCCGACACACGCGUUUACAAGGAAGUAGCAAAGGCUAAACUUACAUCAAACAAAACCCAAGUUCUUUGGUGGCUGCUAGUUGCUUAAAUAGAGGAAUAGAAAGGAGUUCUAAUGGAGAACGAAACUCUCUCGGCAGUUUCUGGACGCCUCGUUUGGUUUUUGUAAUUGAUUCUUGGUGCACAUGAAAGUAGACGAAGAGAGCUUUCCAACAAGUAGUUAUUUGCACUAAACAACCUUGGGAGUGGAAAGUUAUGCUCCAUUUAAUUUGGUGCAUGCUGCAGUUACGAAAUUGACUUGGGUAGAGCAGGAGUUCACUCGGCAGUUUCUGGACGCUUAGUGUCUGAUCUCUCAUUGAUUCUUGAUCCACUAGAAAGUAGACAAAGAGACCUUUCCAACAAGUGCUUAUUUGCAUUAAACAACCUUGGGAGCUGAAAGAUAUGCCCUCUUAAACUUGCACUUGUUGUAGUUUCGAAAUCCCCUCAAGUGGAGCAGCAUUUAUUGCCUUGUUGCCUUCUCAAAUUCUAGAUGGUUCACCUCCCAAACACCUUAGAAUAAUAAAGUAAUCAUAAGGUAUUAGUACCUCAUUUAAGGAAUGAUUAGCUUCAACAACAAGGAACGAGUUCACCUGAUAAUUAAAUUUAAGUGCACGGACUCGUUUCACUGGUCCAUGAUUAAAAGGUGAAGGAGGUCGCUGGUGUGGUGUAUUGAUGGCAGUGAUGUCCUCAUCAUCCUCCCCUUCUUGUAAUAGAGUCGUCCUCGACUCUAGUGUAUGCUCCUCACCCAAGUAUAUCUUUAAAUUUGAUGAUGUGCUUGCUUUGUUGGAAAUGUUGGAAAUAUCAUUACUUGGUCCCCAAUCAACUUCUUUGUUCCUCAAUGUCUUUGUAGCAGGAGCCAUUAACAUGGUCAUAUCUGUGCGGGUUAUGUUCUCAUCAUUCUCCCCUUCUUGAUAGCAAACCGUCCUCGGUUUUGCAUCAUGAUUGAUGUUGAUGACUAAGCUUUUAUUAAUGUCUUUCAAAUAUAAACCUGAAACUUCAACUAAAGUACAUGGAAACAAGAGAUUCUUUUCUUCUUGAGAACAUACCAAUAUCUUAUUUGCACAAAGUGAAGAAACAACAUAUCUACAUGAAAUAGAAAUUCUAUGCACAAAAAAUUGUCCUAUGUUGUUGUACUUGCCAGCAAUAUAAAAUAUAUCAUGAGAAGGACAUGGUAUAGUUGAUCUAGCAAAUAAAAUAUUUUCCAAAUUACCGAGCUCAAAAAGAUCAUCAAAUUCAAUAUAGCCCCAAGUAUUUAAAGAAGAGAGCAAAUUUAUUUCUUCAGUUUUGUUUGCAAUACAACUUACAUGUUCCUUUUUAGCCAAAAUGUUUGGUUCAUUAAUAGAUGUAACAUGUUCAUUUACUAGUUGUUGUCUUAGUACAUGUGAAUCAUUAUCCCACAAAUCUUCACUAUCACAAGUGUCAGCAAUCAAUUCUUCUUGUGAUGAUGGAAAAACAACAGCUGGUUUCAUUAUUUUGUGUUCUUGAUCAGCAUGUAGAGCAGAUGCAAAAGAGGAACUAUGGCUCACAUGUUUAGUGCUUGUAUAAUUGUAUAAUAGAAUCUCAUUUUCAGCUUUACAUGCAAGCAAAAAUAAGUGAGAAAUGUGUUUGUAUGCUUCAUGCAUGACUAUGGUCUGAAUUUCAGAAUUGAGUCCUUUCAUGAACCUAGUCAUUACAUCUUCCAUGCAUUCAUCUAAACGAGCAAACAUGGUACAAAUUUUAAAAUCAUAAUAAUAAUCUUUCACAGUCCUAGCACCCUGCUUUAAGGUGUCUAAUUUAGAAAGCAAAUGAUCAGAAUAGUAUGCAGGAAUGAAUGCAUCUCUAAAAUGAAGUUUGAAGUCUUCCCAAGAUUGUGGAACUUUGUUGUGCCUACAAAUGUAUUUCCAUUCCAUCAAUGCGUGCUCAGUUAACAAAUUAGAGGCAAUAUAAAUCUUUUGUUUUUGAGAUAGAUCAUGCUUAUCAAAUUCCUUAUCUACCUUUAGCUCCCAAUCAAUGUAUGCAUGAGGAUCGAAUUUACCGGCAUAUGAAGGCAAGUGUUGAAUGAUGCCUUGAAUAUAAUGUUCGGUUGGCUCAAAAAUCUUCAUAUCACCUGCCAUGUUUAGUAAAGACAAGAAAACAAUAAAAAAUAUCUUUGAUCCUAUAAACUACAAGGAAUCAUUGUUGUAAUCUCUCAUUCUCAAACUGGUUAAGCAAGUUCUUACAAAUUCUCACCACGCAAUACAGGAGGUGCCGGCAAACAGCAAGAACAACAACAACGGUGGCAGCUAGCACAACCUCGUGUGUUGUAGAAAAAUUUGUGGAUUUAUAGGUGGCUGAUAAAACAAUAGAUCCAAGGAAUAGCUAGUACCAGGUUAGCCACAACAAGUUGAAUAAACGUUCCACAAUGGUGUUGUGCUGGUCCUAGUCCAAACCGUAAUAGAGACGCGAGCCGUUACACAAAUAGUAUCACCAAAAGCUGAGAACAGCAAUCUGAUUUCUGAAACUAUAAAAAGAAGGCACACAAACUGCCUUUUGUUUUGUUGCACUUACAAAUUUUAUCUACCAAAAUUCAGAACUGGUUUUUCUCUCUCUUUUUUUGCACGUGUCUUUUUUUUGUUUUGCUGAUUAGUGCGGCUUUUUUUAUGCACUCGUGAUACACCCAGCCCAGGUGGGGUUGGCCGAGGCCCAACAAAUUAGGGUUGCCCGGAGCCCAACAGUUCAUUAAGCACACCCAACUCAGGGAAAGGCCCAAUCGCCCCAAAAGACUAGUCCAAUGGGGGAAGGGUGGCUCUCCCUUUUAAAGUGGCUCCCUCCUCCCAAGUUAAGCAAGGUGGGAUAAUUCUGAGGCUCACACGGUCGCCGUCCGACUACAAUUGGGCCAACUGGGCCAAUUGCGUCUUUGCCAACGGGUAAUAGUGGAUGAUAUCCUCAUCAUUCCCACCUUCUUAAAAUGGGCCCUAGCUCUGAUACCAGAUGAUACGCCCAGCCCAGGUGGGGUUGGCCGAGGCCCAACAAAUUAGGGUUGCCCGGAGCCCAACAGUUCAUUAUGCACACCCAACUCAGGGAAAGGCCCAAUCGCCCCAAAAGACUAGUCCAAUGGGGGAAGGGUGGCUCUCCCUUUUAAAGUGGCUUCCUCCUCCCAAGUUAAGCGAGGUGGGAUAAUUCUGAGGCUCACACGGUCGCCGUCCGACUACAAUUGGGCCAAUUGCGUCUUUGCCAACGGGUAAUAGUGGAGGAUGUCCUCAUCA
rnacentral:lncRNA from 1 species